GUAUCUGAAGAAGGCCUCUGCUAUCUGCAACAGGAUGUCAUGUGAAACAGGACAAUAUCAGAUAGGACAGUGGAGGAGAGACAGGAAGCAAGAAGAUGGGAGACAGAGACGGGGGAGGAUGGGGAAAUGACCCAGGCCACGAAUCAAAUGACCCAGUGCCCAGCCGUUAGAGCCAUGUCUGGGCCAUAAUAGGCAUAUUACUCUUUUAACAUGACGUUAUGUGGCAAUAACCUCCACCCCACUUCACUUUGGCUGGUCGAAAGCAUCAAAUCAAAUCUGUGGAGGCAAUGUAUGAGAAUGCAGCACAAUUGGGUAAUUGGGUCCACCCCAGGUUUGCCACAGAACACCUGGAUGCUUUAAGAGACAUAUCCAUCACUAUUACAGCAUUGGACAAUACACUCAGGUGACUGAGAACGGGAUCAGGUGAGGGGGUCAACAACAUGCUAAGGGGACAUACAUACGUGAGGUACUCAAUCUGGAAAUGUGUUUCAUGUGAGCAGAGGCUUGUGUCUGUUGGCUGGCCCCGAGUCUGUUGGACUCUGCUUUCUGGAUUCCAGCUGUCCACAUGAGUAUUUUCUCAGUGUGCAGAAAAUUGGCAGUGGCCACUGCUUGGUUCCCAGCACCUCCACAGACCUAAAUAAACAAUUGAACCACCCAGUAAGCCCUGAAUCAAUUGGGAACACAACACAAACCACACUCUUUUUCACCUGAGCAUAGUGACAUGUUAAAAUGUGUUCAUUUUAUAAUUGUCUAUUUGUUUAUUAUUAUGUUUAUUGUUAUUGUAUUGUAGGCCUAGCCUACUUGUUGUUUGAUAUCCAUUGUGGUCAUUCAAUAAUCCAUCAUUCCCUUCAUACAAUGUAGUAGAAUAUUGUAAUAGUCCUUUCAAUAGUAGACUGACUUUGA